rnacentral:rRNA from 1 species
UACGUAGGGGGCAAGCGUUGUCCGGAAUUAUUGGGCGUAAAGAGCGCGUAGGCGGUCUGAUAAGUCGGUUGUGAAAGUCGGGGGCUCAACCCUCGGAUGCCGAUCGAUACUGUCAGGCUAGAGUCCGGAAGAGGCGAGUGGAAUUCCUGGUGUAGCGGUGAAAUGCGCAGAUAUCAGGAGGAACACCGGUGGCGAAGGCGGUUCUCUGGGCAUUACCUGACGCUGAGGAGCGAAAGUGUGGGGAGCGAACAGG